UAACGCGUAUGCAACUUACCCAACACUGGGGGAUAGCCCGGGGAAACUCGGAUUAAUACCCCAUAGUAUCAACGAAUCGCAUGAUGAAAUGAUUAAAGAUUUAUUGGUGUUGGAUGGGCAUGCGUCUGAUUAGUUAGUUGGUGAGGUAACGGCUCACCAAGACGACGAUCAGUAGGGGGUCUGAGAGGAUGAUCCCCCACACUGGUACUGAGAUACGGACCAGACUCC
rnacentral:rRNA from 1 species